UACAGAGGGUGCAAGCGUUGUUCGGAAUCACUGGGCGUAAAGCGCGCGCAGGCGGACCUUGCAAGUCUGGAGUGAAAUCUCGUCGCUCAACGACGAGGCUGCUUCGGAAACUGCAGGUCUGGAGAUCGGUAGAGGCUGGUAGAAUUGCAGGUGUAGCGGUGGAAUGCGUAGAGAUCUGCAAGAAUACCCGUGGCGAAGGCGGCCAGCUGGGCCGAAUCUGACGCUGAGGCGCGAAAGCGUGGGGAGCAAA
rnacentral:rRNA from 1 species